GAUGAACGCUAGCGGCAGGCCUAAUACAUGCAAGUCGAGCGGCAAGUCGAGGAGUAAUCUAAGACCUAGAGCGGCGCACGGGUGCGUAACGCGUAUGCAACCUACCUCAUACAGGGGGAUAGCCCUAGGAAACUGGGAUUAACACCGCAUAAUAUAUGACAAGGCAUCUUGUUAUAUUGAAAUAUUUAUAGGAUGUAGAUGGGCAUGCGUAGGAUUAGCUAGUUGGUAAGGUAACGGCUUACCAAGGCUACGAUCCUUAGGGGCUCUGAGAGGAGUAUCCCCCANACUGGCACUGAGAUACGGGCCAGACUCCUACGGGAGCAGCAGUAGGGAAUAUUGGGCAAUGGAGGCAACUCUGACCCAGCCAUGCCGCGUGCAGGAAGACGGUCCUCUGGAUUGUAAACUGCUUUUGAAUGGGAGAAUGUGUGGCUUGCGAGCUAUAAUGACGGUACCAUUAGAAUAAGCCACGGCUAAC
rnacentral:rRNA from 1 species